AAAAGUCUCUCUUUCUCCAAGUCUCUUUACUGCUGCAGUUUACAGUUUCCACAAUGGGGUUUCUUCCCAAUGGUAGAGGUGGAGGUGAAGGCCGAGGCCGACGUCCUACGAAUAAUGUUUGGGUGAGGCUCGGAGGUCCGACAAAAGAACGAAACCAAAACGAUGUGAGAAAAGAUACACUUUGCAAGUUUUGGGCCACUGGACGUUGCUUCAAAGGAAAUCGCUGCCCCUACAUGCAUUCCCAGUCUCAUGGUAUUGAGACACAAAGAUUGCGCAUUCUUCUGAAAGAGACAAGCUAAAGUCAGACGACAACAAGAAGGAGAUGCCAAUUUGUAAAUUAAUUGCACCACUGCAAAGGCACACUGGGUUCAAUGUGUGUGAGCAAGCAGACACGGAUAUUGCAUAUCCUCCCGCCGGAGACGAGCCAAAGACGGACAAUAACAUGGAGAUGCUUUGCAAUGUUUCCAUUAUUGCAACUCUCCAAGGACACACCAA